GGGGCUGUAGUUUAAACAAUAACAUUUAAUUUGCAAUUAAAAGUUACCUUAUAAAGGUCUACCUCA
rnacentral:tRNA from 1 species